AUUUUUACAAUAGCUUGCAAGAGGAGCCAUUGAUAUACAGACAAAGCAAUAGUUGUACUGUUGUUGCGAGGUUUCAUAAGGGAUGUCACUAUAUAGUGUUGUAAAUCUCACUUUACACAGAGUUCAAGCUCUUCUGGAUCCGUGGCAAUAUGUUGCUUUGCUUCUAUCAGGUGAUCCUCUUGCAAGCAAUGACACAAGUAGGUCUAGUCAAUCUUUAAUAUAUCUGAUUAU